rnacentral:rRNA from 1 species
ACGAACGCUGGCGGCGUGCCUAAUACAUGCAAGUAGAACGCUGAAGAGAGGAGCUUGCUCUUCUUGGAUGAGUUGCGAACGGGUGAGUAACGCGUAGGUAACCUGCCUUGUAGCGGGGGAUAACUAUUGGAAACGAUAGCUAAUACCGCAUAACAAUGGAUGACACAUGUCAUUUAUUUGAAAGGGGCAAUUGUUCCACUACAAGAUGGACCUGCGUUGUAUUAGCUAGUAGGUGAGGUAAUGGCUCACCUAGGCGACGAUACAUAGCCGACCUGAGAGGGUGAUCGGCCACACUGGGACUGAGACACGGCCCAGACUCCUACGGGAGGCAGCAGUAGGGAAUCUUCGGCAAUGGGGGCAACCCUGACCGAGCAACGCCGCGUGAGUGAAGAAGGUUUUCGGAUCGUAAAGCUCUGUUGUAAGUCAAGAACGGGUGUGAGAGUGGAAAGUUCACACUGUGACGGUAGCUUACCAGAAAGGGACGGCUAACUACGUGCCAGCAGCCGCGGUAAUACGUAGGUCCCGAGCGUUGUCCGGAUUUAUUGGGCGUAAAGCGAGCGCAGGCGGUUUGAUAAGUCUGAAGUUAAAGGCUGUGGCUCAACCAUAGUUCGCUUUGGAAACUGUCAAACUUGAGUGCAGAAGGGGAGAGUGGAAUUCCAUGUGUAGCGGUGAAAUGCGUAGAUAUAUGGAGGAACACCGGUGGCGAAAGCGGCUCUCUGGUCUGUAACUGACGCUGAGGCUCGAAAGCGUGGGGAGCGAACAGGAUUAGAUACCCUGGUAGUCCACGCCGUAAACGAUGAGUGCUAGGUGUUGGAUCCUUUCCGGGAUUCAGUGCCGCAGCUAACGCAUUAAGCACUCCGCCUGGGGAGUACGACCGCAAGGUUGAAACUCAAAGGAAUUGACGGGGGCCCGCACAAGCGGUGGAGCAUGUGGUUUAAUUCGAAGCAACGCGAAGAACCUUACCAGGUCUUGACAUCCCGAUGCUAUUUCUAGAGAUAGAAAGUUACUUCGGUACAUCGGUGACAGGUGGUGCAUGGUUGUCGUCAGCUCGUGUCGUGAGAUGUUGGGUUAAGUCCCGCAACGAGCGCAACCCCUAUUGUUAGUUGCCAUCAUUCAGUUGGGCACUCUAGCGAGACUGCCGGUAAUAAACCGGAGGAAGGUGGGGAUGACGUCAAAUCAUCAUGCCCCUUAUGACCUGGGCUACACACGUGCUACAAUGGUUGGUACAACGAGUUGCGAGUCGGUGACGGCGAGCUAAUCUCUUAAAGCCAAUCUCAGUUCGGAUUGUAGGCUGCAACUCGCCUACAUGAAGUCGGAAUCGCUAGUAAUCGCGGAUCAGCACGCCGCGGUGAAUACGUUCCCGGGCCUUGUACACACCGCCCGUCACACCACGAGAGUUUGUAACACCCGAAGUCGGUGAGGUAACCUUUUGGAGCCGGCCGCCUAAGGUGGGACAGAUGAUUGGGGUG